rnacentral:misc_RNA from 1 species
AAAAAAAAAAAAAAAAAAUUCCAUUCCUCUAUAUUUUCUUGGGUUGCGGCCCAUCCAUUGUCAGAGCGCUUUAGAUUUUGCCAAUCUCAUGAAAGCCGAACUCCAUCUCGGAGAAAUUAAAUUCUCAUUUAGGUUCCCUCGCAGGCUCCAUGAGUCCUCAGAAAAUGCCAUCUCGAUUUCUCCCCUUCCUUUGCUUGGUUCCAAAUGUUUUGUGCUAUGAAACCCAAAUUACUUCUAGAAUUGUAACAAUUUAACACUGAUACAUAAAUGAAA